rnacentral:rRNA from 1 species
UGAGUUACGCUCUAUAACCCUUUGUGAACAUACCUAUAACUGUUGCUUCGGCGGGUAGGGUCUCCGUGACCCUCCCGGCCUCCCGCCCCCGGGCGGGUCGGCGCCCGCCGGAGGAUAACCAAACUCUGAUUUAACGACGUUUCUUCUGAGUGGUACAAGCAAAUAAUCAAAACUUUUAACAACGGAUCUCUUGGUUCUGGCAUCGAUGAAGAACGCAGCGAAAUGCGAUAAGUAAUGUGAAUUGCAGAAUUCAGUGAAUCAUCGAAUCUUUGAACGCACAUUGCGCCCGCCAGCAUUCUGGCGGGCAUGCCUGUUCGAGCGUCAUUUCAACCCUCAAGCUCUGCUUGGUGUUGGGGCCCUACAGCUGAUGUAGGCCCUCAAAGGUAGUGGCGGACCCUCCCGGAGCCUCCUUUGCGUAGUAACUUUACGUCUCGCACUGGGAUCCGGAGGGACUCUUGCCGUAAAACCCCCAAUUUUCCAAAGGUUGACCUCGGAUCAGGUAGGAAUACCCGCUGAACUUAAGCAUAUCAAUAAGCGGAGGAAAAGAAACCAACAGGGAUUGCCUCAGUAACGGCGAGUGAAGCGGCAACAGCUCAAAUUUGAAAUCUGGCCCUAGGCCCGAGUUGUAAUUUGCAGAGGAUGCUUUUGGUGCGGUGCCUUCCAAGUUCCCUAGAACGGGACGCCAGAGAGGGUGAGAGCCCCGUACAGUUGGACACCAAGCCUUUGUAAAGCUCCUUCGACGAGUCGAGUAGUUUGGGAAUGCUGCUCAAAAUGGGAGGUAUAUUUCUUCUAAAGCUAAAUACCGGCCAGAGACCGAUAGCGCACAAGUAGAGUGAUCGAAAGAUGAAAAGCACUUUGAAAAGAGGGUUAAACAGCACGUGAAAUUGUUAAAAGGGAAGCGCUUGUGACCAGACUUGCGUCCGGUGAAUCACCCAGCUCUCGCGGCUGGGGCACUUCGCCGGCUCAGGCCAGCAUCAGCUCGCUGUCGGGGACAAAAGCUUCAGGAACGUAGCUCUCUUCGGGGAGUGUUAUAGCCUGUUGCAUAAUACCCUUCGGCGGGCUGAGGUACGC